UAAAUAAGAAACAAAAUUUGUAAUUAGUUUCGACCUAAUCUUUUGAUGUUUAUCCAUCCUUAUUU
rnacentral:tRNA from 1 species